UCCGAUAUGGUCUAGUGGCUAGGAUUUGCCGCUCUCAUCAAGCUUCGGCUUCUGAGUGCGCCGGCAAGGCCCGGGUUCAAUUCCCGGUGUCGGAA